UUCUUUGAAAAACCUGAUUAUGAGUAUUUACGGACCCUCUUCACAGACCUCUUUGAAAAGAAAGGCUACACCUUUGACUAUGCCUAUGAUUGGGUUGGGAGACCUAUUCCUACUCCAGUAGGGUCAGUUCACGUAGAUUCUGGUGCAUCUGCAAUAACUCGAGAAAGCCACACACAUAGGGAUCGGCCAUCACAACAGCAGCCUCUUCGAAAUCAGGUGGUUAGCUCAACCAAUGGAGAGCUGAAUGUUGAUGAUCCCACGGGAGCCCACUCCAAUGCACCAAUCACAGCUCAUGCCGAGGUGGAGGUAGUGGAGGAAGCUAAGUACGUACAUCUUUCAAGGGGGCUCUUAAGUCAUGGGUUGAAAAAUCUUUUCUGUCUCUUCCUCUCUGUGUGCUGCUCGUCUCAGACUGGAUUUCUCAUGCUUGUAACCACAGCUUUCUUCCUUAACUGUUUUAAUUUUUGCAUGGUACCUUAAGGCUGCUACUGCCCUUCUUUAGCUGUGAUUUCGGGGAAGACAGUCACAUUUUUCUAGUUCACAUGAAAAAGACAUAGUGAACCGAAAGAAUCAUGUUAUCAGGGCUACAGUGGAUAGUAGCCAU
rnacentral:lncRNA from 1 species